rnacentral:rRNA from 1 species
GAUGAACGCUGGCGGCGUGCCUAAUACAUGCAAGUCGAGCGAACAGAUGAGGAGCUUGCUCCUCUGACGUUAGCGGCGGACGGGUGAGUAACACGUGGAUAACCUACCUAUAAGACUGGGAUAACUUCGGGAAACCGGAGCUAAUACCGGAUAAUAUAUUGAACCGCAUGGUUCAAUAGUGAAAGACGGUUUUGCUGUCACUUAUAGAUGGAUCCGCGCCGCAUUAGCUAGUUGGUAAGGUAACGGCUUACCAAGGCAACGAUGCGUAGCCGACCUGAGAGGGGAACCGGCCACCAGAAAAGAGGACCACGAUCCAGACUCCUCGGGAGGCAAGAAGAAGGGAAUCACCCGAAGGGGGCGAAGGGAGGACGAACAAACGCGGGGGAGGGAAGGAGGUUUUUGGUACGGAAAACAUGUUUUUUGGGGGAAAAAAAAAUGUGUAGGUAAUUAGCCAGGUUUAAGGGACCCAAAGAAAAAAGCCCGGGUCAAUCUGCG